rnacentral:rRNA from 1 species
AGAGUUUGAUCCUGGCUCAGAAUGAACGCUGGCGGCGUGCUUAACACAUGCAAGUCGUACGAGAACUCUUUAGCUUGCUAAAGAUAGUAAAGUGGCGUACGGGUGAGUAACGCGUGGGUAAUCUACCUCCGAAUCGGGGAUAACCCGCCGAAAGGCGAGCUAAUACCGGAUAAUAUCUUUAAAACUUCGGUUUUAAAGAUCAAAGGUGGUCUCUACAUGUAAGCUACUGUUUGGAGAUGAGCCCGCGUACCAUUAGCUUGUUGGUAGGGUAAUGGCCUACCAAGGCUUCGAUGGUUAGCUGGUCUGAGAGGAUGAUCAGCCACACUGGAACUGACACACGGUCCAGACUCCUACGGGAGGCAGCAGUGAGGAAUUUUGCGCAAUGGGGGAAACCCUGACGCAGCAACGCCGCGUGAGUGAUGAAGGCUUUCGGGUCGUAAAGCUCUGUCAAGUGGGAAGAACAUGCUUGAUGCUAAUACCAUCUUGCACUGACGGUACCACUGAAGGAAGCACCGGCUAACUCCGUGCCAGCAGCCGCGGUAAUACGGGGGGUGCAAGCGUUAUUCGGAAUUAUUGGGCGUAAAGGGCGCGUAGGCGGUCUCUUAAGUCAGAUGUGAAAGCCCGGGGCUCAACCCUGGAAGUGCAUUUGAAACUAAGGGACUUGAGUAUGGGAGAGGGAAGUGGAAUUCCUGGUGUAGAGGUGAAAUUCGUAGAUAUCAGGAGGAACACCGGUGGCGAAGGCGACUUCCUGGACCAAUACUGACGCUAAGGCGCGAAGGCGUGGGGAGCAAACAGGAUUAGAUACCCUGGUAGUCCACGCAGUAAACGGUGAACACUAGGUGUAGCGGGUAUUGACCCCUGCUGUGCCGUAGCUAACGCAUUAAGUGUUCCGCCUGGGGAGUACGGUCGCAAGAUUAAAACUCAAAGGAAUUGACGGGGGCCCCCAAAGCGGUGCAGAAUGUGGUUUAAUUGGAGGCAACGCGAAAAACUUUACUGGAUUUGAAAUCCCGAGAAGUUUUUGGAAAGAUAAAUGUUGUGCUUUUGGGGAACUCCGUGACAAGUGCUGCAUGGUUGUCCUCCGCUCCGGUCCGGAGAUGUUGGGUUAAGUCCCGCAACGAGCGCAACCCCUAUUUUUAGUUACCAUCAAUUCGGUUGGGGACUCCUAAAGAUACUGCCCCGGUUAACGGGGAGGAAGGUGGGGAUGA